CAGUCGCCACGGUAAUACAGAGGGUGCGAGCGUUAAUCGGAUUUACUGGGCGUAAAGCGUGCGUAGGCGGCUAAUUGAGUCGGAUGUGAAAUCCCCGAGCUUAACUUGGGAAUUGCAUUCGAUACUGGUUAGCUAGAGUGUGGGAGAGGAUGGUAGAAUUCCAGGUGUAGCGGUGAAAUGCGUAGAGAUCUGGAGGAAUACCGAUGGCGAAGGCAGCCAUCUGGCCUAACACUGACGCUGAGGUACGAAAGCAUGGGGAGCAAACAGGAUUAGAUACCCCAGUAGUCCCUGUCUCUUAUAA
rnacentral:rRNA from 1 species